GACGAACGCUGGCGGUGUGCUUAACACAUGCAAGUCGAACGGUAAGGCCCUUUCGGGGGUACACGAGUGGCGAACGGGUGAGUAACACGUGAGUAACCUGCCCUCAUCUCUGGGAUAACAGUCGGAAACGGUUGCUAAUACUGGAUAUGAGCUUGCAAGGCAUCUUGUGGGUUGGAAAGAUUUUUUUGGUUGGGGAUGGACUCGCGGCCUAUCAGCUUGUUGGUGAGGUAGUGGCUCACCAAGGCUUCGACGGGUAGCCGGCCUGAGAGGGCGACCGGCCACAUUGGGACUGAGAUACGGCCCAAACUCCUACGGGAGGCAGCAGUGGGGAAUAUUGCACAAUGGACGGAAGUCUGAUGCAGCAACGCCGCGUGCGGGAUGACGGCCUUCGGGUUGUAAACCGCUUUCAAUUGUGACGAAGCUUUUUGUGACGGUAGCAGUAGAAGAGGCACCGGCUAACUACGUG
rnacentral:rRNA from 1 species